CGCCGCAAAUAUUUAUUAAUUAAUGUGAUUAUUCAUAUGGUCCGUUAUUACUAUUAUUAUUAUAUUAUUUUAAUGCUAUUUGUAACAAGUAUUUUCUGAUCAUAAUAAUUACCUUGUCAUAGGAAGUAAUAGAACAGCAGAAACUGGUGACGUUAUGCACGGAGACUAAACCGCAAGUUCGUCAAGUUCGUCAUGUUCGUCAUUAAGAAGGAUAAAAUUAAUUUCAAAUGUAUUAUAUUUGUUUUAACAUUAUGUAGUUUUAAAUACAUAAUUGAAACAUAGUAAACGUAAUAUUAGAUAUGAAAGGAUCAGAUAAAUAUUAUACAUCAAACUCUAUCAUGUAUCAAAUGAAUCAGAAGUAUGGGUAAAAUAAAACGUAAUGGUCAUCUACCACAAAUAAAAGAAAACAAUCCACUGACUGUAGCCACCAGCCAAUCUGAUGACAAUAUACCAGUCGAUCAUAAAGAAACAAGACAUGAAAGUGGUCGGCAGUCCAACAAGAAAGGGAGUCAUAAAAGAUGUCUUUGGUGUCGUCUGUUUUGUCAUUGGUGUACAUUGCCUCUGCGUACUGAACAGAACCCGUUGCCGAGCAGCCCAUCGUUUUGUGAGAGAUUCAAGUUUGCAUUUCUGUGUCCCCCACAUGGCAGAGUGGGGGGAUUCUUGUUUCUUUUUGUUUUAUUCUUCACAUGGUGGGGUGUUCUCAUCGCUGUCACGGACAAGGAUGCACUUCCUGGUGGGAAUUUGUUCUCCUUGUUAAUUCUGUUCAUCAGUUGCUGGAUUGGAGGAUAUCUCAUGACGUUAAUCAGACUGCCAGCAUUGCUGGGUAUGCUAGUUACUGGGAUAGUGGUUAACAACAUUCCACAAAUUUCCUUCGGAAGGGACACAAACCACGCCUGGUCUGCUAACAUAAGACAGAUUGCGUUGACUGUGAUACUGAUACGAGCGGGUUUGGGCCUGGAUCCGAAGGCUCUGCGUCGACUCUCAUUUGUGGUGUUACGACUUGCUUUCUCACCCUGUCUUGUGGAGAUGUUGACCAUUGGAAUCGCUGCUCAUUUUGUGUUAGAAUUUCCAUGGACUUGGGGAUUCAUGCUUGGAUUUGUUUUAGCUGCAGUGUCUCCGGGGGUAGUUGUCCCAUGCCUGCUCAGUCUACAGCAGAGAGGUUACGGGGUGGACAAGGGCAUCCCCACUUUAAUCAUUGCGGCCGCCAGCAUCGACGACGUGCUGGCCAUUACAGGCUUCGGUCUCGUCUUGGGAUUAACUUUCACUCAUGAUAAUGUUGUGUGGAGUUUGUUUAAAGGGCCAGUAGAAGCAAUGGUUGGACUCUCGUAUGGUCUUGUAAUGGGAAUAACACUCUGGUAUAUUCCUCAUAAAUCAAGUAACCAUUUGGUAUUGUUUCGGAGUAGUCUUCUUGUGGGUCUUGCUCUCCUAGCAAUCCUACUGUCCAUAUACCUAGAGUGGUCAGGAGCGGGACCCCUCGGCUGUCUGUCGCUGGCCUUUGUAGCCGCGUUGAAAUGGAGGAAAGAGGUUCACCCUGAUGACAAGCAUCCAAUAGACGAUGUUGUUGGUGUAUUGUGGAUGAUUUUUCAACCCCUGCUGUUUGGUUUGAUUGGAGCUGCAGUUGAUAUCAGUGUCAUCGAAGUGACGACAAUCGCUCGUGGAAUUUACACGCUGUGUAUCGGGCUGGCUUUCCGGAUGGUUGUUUCGUUUCUCGUGGUGCUCCACACAAAACUCAUCUUGAAGGAGCGGCUCUUCGUCGUCAUCGCCUGGAUCCCCAAGGCUACUGUUCAGGCUGCAAUAGGAGGACUUGCAUUGGACCAGGCUAUAAUGCGAAAGGAUAAUGGAAUACAGAAUGCUGAAGAGAUAAAAUAUGGUGAACAGCAGUAUGGCCGACCCCAUGCACGAGCAACCGACAACGUGGUGUAUUCGGACAAGGGAAGUAACUCUUCGGGAUUUCUGUAUUGGUGUUUCCGUUGAUUUGUAAAAAGCUCCAGUUGAGUGUGAAUUAUAUAUUGGAAAUGAUUUGAUUGGUGUAUAGAUCAAAUCUCAUGAUUGAUCAUGGAGAGAUUCAAGGUUAAAUGUCAUGCACCGGGAUAGUAUACGGUGACAGGUUGGAGGCAAGCCAGGUGGUCAACAACAACAGGAAUAAACAGACAAGAUGAACUGUGCCAGUGCCAUGAAUAUUGACGUCAUCGUAUCCGGAUUUGGGAAUUCGUUAUGUUUUGGACAGUCAUUUGAUAUUAACAAUUGCUGUGUUGUCGAUCAUCCUGACCGCUCCACUCGGUUCCAUCCUCAUUACGAUUCUGGGUCCAAAAUUACUACAGCUGUCUACAAUGUUCACAGUAGAAACGCGUUACAAAG
rnacentral:misc_RNA from 1 species